CCAUGUUGUCAGCGUGGAGCCCCAUGUGGCGCUGAAACUCUAGAACUGUGAGAUGAUGGCCUGAGCCGAAAUCAAGAGUCAGACGUUUAACCGACAGAGCCACCCAGGUGCCCUCCCUAGAAAUAAAUCUCCUAAAAAUAUGCAAGUCCUCUACACUGAAAUCCACACAACAUUAUUGAAAGAAAUGUUUACAAUGUGAGUAAGUGGAGACAGAUACCACGCGCAUGCAUUAGAACAUUCACUGUGAUGGAGUUGUCAGUUUUUCCUAAAGUGAUACACAGCGUCAAACUUAGCUCGUCUUCUGAGCCAUAAAACAAGUCUUAGUACAUUUAAAAGUUCCCAUCAAACCCCAGCAGGUCUUUUUGUGGAAAAUGAUAAGCUGAUUCUAAAAUUUUUAUGCAAAUGCAAAGUUCCUAGAAUAUCUAGGGCAAUCUUGAAGAACAGCAGAGCUGGAGGAGUUACACUCCCAAGAACCAAAACUUUGAAGGGGCUGAUGUAAUGAAAACAGUGUGGUAUUGGUGCAAGAAUACACAAGGGAUCAGCGGAACAUGAGCCAGAAUCCAAAACGUGUCUACAGUUUUAUGACAAAGCGAUGCUAUAAGGCUAUGGAGAAAGGACGUCCUUUUGUGCUGGGUCAACUGGAUAUGCACAUAUGCACAAGCAGUGAGUUUGUUUGUUUUGCACAAGCAGUGAACUUUAACCUCCAACUUUAACUGGAUUACAACCAAAAAUUUCAGCUGGAUUACACAUCUAAAUCUGGAAUGUAAAACAGGAAAGCUUGGAAGAAAACAUAGGAUAAUAUCUUUAUUUAUUUAUUUAUGUUGAGAGAGAGAGAGAGAAAGAACGAGAAGAGGAAGGGCAGAGAGAGAGGGGGACAAAGGAUCCUAAGUGGGCUCCGUGCUAACAGCGGAGAGCCUGAUGCGGAACUGGAACUCACAAACUGUGAGAACGUGACCUGAGCCGAAGUCAGAAGCUUAAUGAACUGAGCCACCGAGGCACCCCGAGAAUAUCUUUAUCAGCAUAAACCUCGGAAACAAAUCUUAGUAGGCAAAGAUUUCUUAAAUACGACACCAAAAAAAGUCCGUUAUAAAGGAAAAACUAUUAUGUAAACAACAUUAAAAUUGGGAGUGGCUGUUUAUCAGAAGACACCAUUAACAACAGCGAAAAGAUCCAUGGACUGGAAGAUACAACACAAAUAACCAACAGAGGAGUUCUAUUUAGAUUUUUAGAUUUUAUAAAGAUCUCCCAUAAAUCAUAAACAAAAAGUCAAAUGAACCAAUAGAAACAUGAACAGAAGAUUUGAAUGGGCCCUUCACAGAACAGGAUAUCCUAAAGGUCAACAAACAUGAAAACGCGCUCAAUGCCAUUAUUCAUCAGGGAAACAGAAAUUAAGACUAUGGGGAGAUUAAAAAAAAAAAAAAAAAGACUAGGAGGACAUCAGGCGCACGCGUACCUCAAUGGCUAAAAUGAAAAAGGUAAUUCUCAAGUCUCGGCAAAGAUGUGGAGGAACGGGAAUUCUCUUAAACACGCUUUACUAUCACCGUCAGAAAUGAAAAGUUUCACAUUUUGAAAAGAACAAGUCUCUCCCAUCACGCUCGAACACCAAGACCCAGGACGUAGUGGUAUUUCCUCGCCCUCAUCUCUCUUGACCUUUCUGUGGCACUUACCUUGACCACUCCUGGGUCAAAGCCGGGUCUGCCUUCAAACCCCAGGGGCUGACCCCACUCUGCUCCCCUCCCACCCGUCCAUCAGCCCUUCUGGUGCCUUAGUCUCAGUCCCUGGGAUCUCCGUCACCCUCUCUCCUGGCUCCUGGACAAGCGCACUGGGGUAGCUCUUCCCUGAGGGUUCCUCAAUUUCUCUCCGGCCUCAUUUCCACCAAAUUAGAGUGAGGAAGAUCCACCCCCCACCCCUGCAUUCCCCAUCCUCCAGCUUCCCCAGCCUGCAGACAAGUCCCAGUCUCCAGGUCCUGCAGACCCUGUCACACAGCUGUCCUCCCCUCCACCAAAACCUCUUGAGCCUGGGUCACCUCCUGCCACCCGGAUGGCCCCCAGCCUCCCGCUGCUCCUGCUGGCCCCAAUGUCAUGCCCCAGCCCAUGUCACACCUGCCCCCCAACUCCACCGCUUUCACCAGACCCCCAUCUACUAGCUAGCUGUGUGACUGUGGACACCUUAUCUAAGCCUCAGUCUCACUCUAAAAUGAGGGUUGUAGAAUCUACCUCACAGAAUUGUCAUAGGAUUCAGUGAGAUAAAAUCUAGCAUACAGUGCCUCCUUAAUCAGUGUCACCAGUUUCUACUCUUUCUGUUCAGCUCCACGGGACGCAAGGCACGGGUGAUCUGACCCCUUCCCCAAGUACCGAGACCGCCCCUCCCAGCCCUCAACUGCCCCGCCCAAGCCCCUCUGUCUGUCCAGGUCCAGCCCCUGCACCUCCCCCGCCCCCCUUCUCAGCACCCUGCAGUCACUCAGGCCUAGGUUCCUCAUGGGAGGUGGGAGUGAGGGGUCCACCCGGCUGUGCACCAGCCGCUCUCCCGCCUUCCGCUUCCAAUAGUCCUCGCUACGCUCCUAAACCAGAAUCUGUCCACAGUCACAAACCUCCAUCCCCAUUAAACGCGAGAGGGGCGCCUGGGUGGCUCAAUCGUUGAGCGGCUGACUUCGGCUCAGAUCAUGAUCUCACGGUGGUGGGACAGCUCAGAGCCUGGAACCUGCUCCCUGUCUCUGCCCCUCUCUCGCUCUCUCUCAAAAACUAAAUAAACAUUAAAACAAUAUUUUAAACGGAGCGAGAGGCCUAAUUAGGAUCUGGGACAGAGAGAGGGGAGAAGCUCACCUGAGACAGAGCGCAGCAGCCAGACACACAGGGCCCAGCCACGCCAGGACGCCGGGACUCUACUCGGGAGCUUUGGUGGCGACGCCAUCUCUCUCCGUAUCAGCCCGAGGCUGGACGGAGCGUGCAGAGCUUCUCCAACCGGGCCCUUCCUGUGGCCCCAGAACGAGAGGCCUGACGUCGGCUUCCUCCCUAGGUGCAGGGGGGGGGGGGGGGGGGUACAGACACAGGCGCGGUGCAAUUGUGGGCCAACCCCAAUAUCCGGGUCUCUCGGAAAGCCCCUGGAGGGGUGGGGGUGGGGCAUCUGAGUGCUGGGGCGAAGCACAGAGGACCACUUGGUUUGCAAGCAGUUCAGCAGAGGAUUUGGUUUACUGGGCCCUGAAACCAGUCCCGGAGAGGUCCCGGCCUCGGGUCUGGCUGGGUCCGCAGGCCUGAACUGUGAUGUCAGAGGCACACCCCUUUCUUUCUCUCUGCUCUGUAGCCGUCUUUCUUUCCGUUUGGUUUGCGGGCAGGCUCUCCACACAUGGUGGAAAGAUGUCCCCCAGGGCCCAAGGCUCAGGUUGGCCAGCGUAGCCACCUCGGAGAAAAGGAAGAGUCUCCUUCCUGUUACUUGAAGCAGAGUCCGAGGCUGAUGUUGGUCGACCUAGCCUGGACCAUGCACCUGCCAAAACCCAUCACUGUGAUCAGUGCGCUGGCUGGGCCUGGGUCACCUGUGCCCUCUGGAAGCUGAGGCAUGGGGGCAAUUUGAGAAGGUCUUUGGGGACUUGGAGUCACAGCAUGGUGGUUCCCAGAGGAAAGCUGGAUGCAGUCACCAGAGGGUCCAGAGCAGGCACCUACCUGUCCAAAGGGGCUAAUGUAACAGAAGAAGGGGGGGGCCUCUCCCGCCCAAGAGGGGCCCCUCUGCUGCCUCCUUCCAGCUUCUCAGUUCGGCAGCCAUGUCCCCACACCCUCUCACAAAGCCCCCACCUGUUUCUCCACGUUGCUCUGCUUCCUGACUGUCCCAAGAAGUGGCCCGCAGUUUCUCCUGCGGCUCGGGAAGAAAAGCCUUGAUGGCCUGCUCACCAGAGCCCUGAGACAUCCUUCCGUCCCAGAGAGACCCAGACCUCGUGGUUCUGUAAUAGCAACCAAGAUAAUCAUAACAAUAAAUAAUUGGCCACCUCCUCAUCUUCCCUCAGGUUGGGUUAUCCGGUGGAAUCAGCGCCAGUGCCACGAGGCACUUAGCACACACGGUACCCGGCAUGUUGGAAGCACCUGGUGAAUGAGGUAGGUCAUGUUUUCCAACAUGGCCACCACAGUGCAUCUCCCCCCACACGCCCUUUCUUUUUCCACCCGAGUUGGUAUUCAUUUUCUAAGCUGAGAUACAAUUGACGCACAGUAAGCUGUACAUAUUCAAAGUGUGCAGCUUCGUAAAUUUUGACGUGCGUAUGCCCCUGAAACCAUCACAGCUAUCAAGAUGUUGAACACAUCCACCAGCCCUAAAAGUUUCCUGGUGCCCCUCUGUCAUCCCUCCCUCUACCCCACUUCUAGCACCUGCAGGCAACCGCUGGCGUGCUUCCCGGCACCACAGGUCAGUUUGCGUUUUCUAAACGUUUUAUGUAAAUUGAAUAAUACUGUGCAUGCACUUUUUUGUCUGGUUUCUUUCACUCAGCGUCGUAACUUUGAGAGCUGCCCAUGUUAUUCCAUGUACCCAUAGUUAAUUAAUUUUUAUUGCUGAAUUGUAUUUCACUGUAUGCCAUAAUUUACUUAUCUGUUCACCUGCUGAUGAACAUUUGGGGUGUUUCUCAUUGUUGGCUCCUUCAAAUAAAGCUGCUGUGAACAUUCACGUGUAA